rnacentral:rRNA from 1 species
GACGAACGCUGGCGGCGUGCUUAACACAUGCAAGUCGAACGGAAAGGCCCUGCUUUUGUGGGGUGCUCGAGUGGCGAACGGGUGAGUAACACGUGAGUAACCUGCCCUUGACUUUGGGAUAACUUCAGGAAACUGGGGCUAAUACCGGAUAGGAGCUCCUGCUGCAUGGUGGGGGUUGGAAAGUUUCGGCGGUUGGGGAUGGACUCGCGGCUUAUCAGCUUGUUGGUGGGGUAGUGGCUUACCAAGGCUUUGACGGGUAGCCGGCCUGAGAGGGUGACCGGCCACACUAGGACUGCGAUACGGCCCAGACUCCUACGGGAGGCAGCAGUGGGGAGUAUUGCACAGUGGGCGGAAGCCUGAUGCAGCAACGCCGCGUGCGGGAUGACGGCCUUCGGGUUGUAAACCGCUUUCGCCUGUGACGAAGCGUGAGUGACGGUAAUGGGUAAAGAAGCACCGGCUAACUACGUG